GGCCCAAACUUGAAAUAGAGUAGAUUAGUAGGAUUAGCUGACCCUGCUAAAUUGCUGUAUUUCAAGUUUGGACCC
rfam:Haemonchus placei strain MHpl1 genome assembly, scaffold: HPLM_scaffold0003712